rnacentral:rRNA from 1 species
UUUAACUGAGCGUUCAGUUACUUGACGUAGACCCGAAACCGGGCGACCUACCCAUGAGCAGGAUGAAGCGAAAGUAAAAUUUCGUGGAGGUCCGAACCCACGAGCGUUGAAAAGCUCGGGGAUGACUUGUGGGUAGCGGUGAAAUUCCAAUCGAGCCCGGAGAUAGCUGGUUCUCCCCGAAAUAGCUUUAGGGCUAGCCUCAAGGUGAGAGAUACGGAGGUAGAGCACUGAAUGUCCUAGGGGGUAUUGCACCUACCGAAGACUAUCAAACUCCGAAUGCCGUCAUCUUAUACUUGGGAGUCAGACUGUGGGUGAUAAGAUUCAUAGUCGAAAGGGCAACAGCCCAGAUCGUCAGCUAAGGUCCCUAAAUGUAAGUUAAGUGGUAAAGGAUGUGGGAUUGCACAGACAACCAGGAUGUUGGCUUAGAAGCAGCCACUCAUUCAAAGAGUGCGUAAUAGCUCACUGGUCGAGUGAUCCUGCGCCGAAGAUUUCCGGGGCUAAAACUUACUACCGAAGCUACGGCAUCAGUAAUGAUGGGUAGGGGAGCUUCCCAUACGGGUUGAAGCAUGACCGUAAGGACAUGUGGACAGUAUGGGAGUGAGAAUGUUGGCAUGAGUAGCGAGAUGUGGGUGAGAAUCCCACAGGCCGUAAACCCAAGGUUUCCAGGGGAAGGUUCGUCCGCCCUGGGUUAGUCGGGACCUAAGCUGAGGCCGAAAGGCGUAGGUGAUGGACAACAGGUUGAUAUUCCUGUACUACC